rnacentral:rRNA from 1 species
CAGUCGCCGCGGUAAUACGAAGGGGGCUAGCGUUGUUCGGAAUCACUGGGCGUAAAGCGCACGUAGGCGGACACUUAAGUCAGAGGUGAAAUCCCAAGGCUCAACCUUGGAACUGCCUUUGAUACUGGGUGUCUUGAGGUCGAGAGAGGUGAGUGGAACUGCGAGUGUAGAGGUGAAAUUCGUAGAUAUUCGCAAGAACACCAGUGGCGAAGGCGGCUCACUGGCUCGAUUCUGACGCUGAGGUGCGAAAGCGUGGGGAGCAAACAGGAUUAGAUACCCCCGUAGUCCCUGUCUCUUAUAC